CAUUUCUUCUCUAUUCUCGACUGCCACAUCAAUCUUUUAUUUAUCCAUUUAUAGGAUUAACAUGGCCAUUGUAGUGGUUCAGACCAAAUUACUUGUUCAAUGUUCAAGAUGCUUUCUUUUUGUUGGGGUAAUAACUAUCAAGUCUUAUACUGAAAGAAGUAAAAAGAUACAAUGAUACUUGUGUGCUCACAAUUCAAUGGAAAAUUCAUCUCGUAAUUAGUCAAGGACUAGGGCUUUGAUCUUUGAUUUGACACUGUAUGACCAGAAAAUCAUGGAUAUUUAUAUCCUUCUUUGUCAAAUUUCUGGGAAGUUAUGUUUUAUGUGAAUGCUUUUUCUUGCUUUGAUUGAAAUAAGAGAAAAGUCCCAGGUUACCGUGCGCAGUUACUAUUCUACUGCCUUAUAAUGUGAUCUAGAUUCUUGAAUCUUGCAUUCAAAGAUUUUAAAACUAGGUUAGACUUAAUUCAACUUCAAUUUACUGACUGCAUUUUCAAAUAGCUGCUUUGAUUUCAUAAAGGCUUGAAUUUUCUUGUCUUUCAUGACAAUCUUCUCCAACGUGGUAACAUAAAGACCAGUCAGCCCUGUGACAAAUUGCUGACCUUUUGUAGUUGUGGUUUAAGAAGAUCAUGCUCCUUGUUGGUUUGAUUUUGAUGAUAAAGGUUUUCACAGAAAACUUUAAUAAACAAACUUUAAGUAUUUUAAUAAUGAACGAAUGAAUAAUUUUAAAAGUGGUAUGCCAGAGUGCAAUGAUUGAAAACUAAUGAUGCUUGAUGACAUAAAUCAUAGAAAUAAAGUAAUAUUCGAAUACCUGAGAUUUAAAAUAGAUGUAAUCGAAUUCUUGAUAUUCAGAAGACAAAUAAUUUAGUACUUCAGGUUUAGAUGAAAAAGUAAUUGAGUAUUUGAGGUUUAUAAUCGAGUAUUAGACUUUCAGUAACAAAUACUCGAGUAUUGGAAAGAAUUGAAAAAUAAUACUCAAAUAUUUUAAGGAGGAACUGAGAGUAUUUUUUAUGCAGUCAAAAAUACUCAAGUAUUGGAAAAUGAUACUCGAGUAUUAGACUGUAGCACAGAAUGUAUGCAAGUCUCAGUCUCAAAGAUACUCGACUACCAAACUACCUGAAGCUAAAUAUUGAAAUCUAAAAAAAAUGCACUGCACGAUACUCGACUACUAGGUCCAUGAUACUCGAUUAUUGGAAACCCUCUAUCAGAAAUAUCUGAGAAUCAAGCCAUUGGAAAGCAACCAUUUCAGUCAGAAAUCUUUUCAAAUCUCCAUCCAACAUCUCUUUGACGUUGCAGGUUGAGAAUUUCAAAUUUCAAAUUGCUUUAUCUAAUCAAAUGUCAGGUUAGGUCAUUUUCAAAGCAUGGGGAACAUGCUGAUGUAUCUGCUCCUGACAGGUUUGGUACAAGACCAUUUGACCAACCUUUCUACCUAUAUAAGGUCGAGAAAAAUGAAGAAUAAACCGAGGAGAGCUUGAGCCAAAUAAUCUGAAAGAACAAGAGCUUCACAUUCAUUCUCCUCCUACAAUUCUUUGCAACUAUUACUACCUAGAAAACAGAGCUUAGUUGCAGAUUAUAGAAUCCUCCCAGUGUUCUUAUUUGUAAAACACCUUGAGUGUUAUCCUUUGUGAGGUUUUCUAGUAUUGUGAGUGUAUCUCACAAAUCUUCUUCUUAAAUUGUAAAAGCGAGGGGCUAUUGCUUCAGUCGUAAAAAGCAUUUGUAAGGUUAGGUGCUUGAGCUUGUAAAAAGCACAAGGUUGGUUAGUGCUUAAGCUUGUGUAAAAAGCAGAAUAUGACUGAAAAGUGAUAGCAUACAGGAUAGUGCUUGCCUCUUCAAGAAACAUUAUGUUAGUGGAUUUGGAAAUUCUUGGCUAGGAGUCAAGGUAGUCAACAUAGGCAAGUUGUCGAAUGACUAUAUAAAUACUGUAUUAUCUUUGCUUGAUUUCUUCUUUUUUAUUCAUCUUUGUUACAUACUUUAAUCUUGCAAAAUCCUGUGAAGCACAAAUUCACUUAUUUCUUAAGUUUGAAUACUUGACUGUUGUACUUAAUUUUAUUGUUUUUGUAUUUUACUCAUUACAAACAUAUCUUUCAUUGUUGUUUGAGGAAAAAGAAAAUAUUUUCAAAAAUCCAAUUCCCCCCCCCCUCUCUCGAGUUGCCUUUUUACCAGGGCCAACACUCGUUUUCCAUGGUUUUCAAUUUUAUUGAUAGCUUGAGUUUGGCCAUUUCUUUGGCUUGAAAUUCUGAGACAUCAGCCUAUCAAAGGUGGUCUGAAAAUUUUGACCCUCACUUUCUCCUUUGAUGGUCUCUGAAGUUUCUAUUACUUGCGCAUUACUGGAACUAUCUGUGUCAUUGACAAAAUCAGCCAGUUUGCAGAGAAAAUAAAAGCAAUUUCACAAGACUCGCCAUUGUAAUGGUCAUUUUCAAAUUCAUCAGAAUCAUCCCAUGUAGUAGUAUAUAAGACUUUUACUUUUUUGUUUUUACCUGUUGGCAAAUUCAUUUUUAAAAUGAUCAAUGCUUUGAACCUAAAAACAUCUACCAGAAGCAGGCUGAGGUUCAUUUCCAUUCAUUUCAAUUUUAAAUAGUUUUUGUUAGAAGAAUUGGAAGAUUUUUUCCCUUAAAAUUUCCCUUUGAAGGGUUGGUUCCAAAUUUAUUUUUUCCCAUCUUUGUUUCUCAGAUUUUUCACCAUGAAGGACAAAACUUCUUCAAAGUUAUUAUAGAUAUCAUAAACUGUUUAAAGUAAUGCAUUUGACUUCUUGGUUUGACAUAGAUUGAGCAUAUAGGUCUAAAGGUUUCCAAUAAGUUGAUCUACACUUUGACUACUGCAUCCUUGCUUUCCUUGAUAGGCAUGACUUUUUAGGUUUAAAGCACUCAAGUAAAGAUCUUAAUUUUUUUUUUCUAAAAAUUUUAUUUUUGGAAUAUUUUUCACCUAAAUUCAAGCUGGAAUUUUCUAUAUCACUCAAUCUAGCACGAAAAUUUAUUUACAAGCCUAUUGAUUAGAACGUCUUAACUUCCAGGGCAUGGAAUAUAACUUCAAGUUCACUGAACCAUUCUGAGCAUACAUGGAAAUUCCAUAAGCAUAAAUGGUCAUAUAUAUACUGAAUAACAGAAAAUGUGUUCUAAUCUACAGAUUUAUUCAUGCCGAUACUUCACCGGUUCAUAAUACAUCCAGCAGUAGCACUUGACACUAGUUACAUAUUUCACUUGUUAAAAGUUUAAAGGUACUGCAGCAUUUUAAACAUACAUGCACAUACAUUUUGUUACUGAUUAACAUUAACAAAGCUGAGAUUUACAGUACAAGGUGCUAAUGUAACAAUACAUCAUUAACCCUCAGGGCCUUACAUUCUUAUGUGAAAUCACAUACUAAAAUCCUUGGUUUUAAUCCUCAACAGAAGUAGUAGAAACAUGAGCAAAAAAAUAGCACGAGAAAUAUAUCAAAUAGCCAAACAUUUCUAUACUGAGCUUUGGUAAGCCUUCACCCACACCAAUCACUAAUCUGUGUGAUGAUAAGAGAUCAUAUGAGAUAUAAGCUUAGGAAGAUCCCAUUGCUAUAUGACACAUGCGCACUGUUGAAUUGUUAAUUGCCAUCUCAUCUAAAAGCUUAAGUUGUUAUAUAGAGGAUUAACUUUAUUUUUUAUAUUAUUUUUUCUCUCAACUCGCCCUCUCACAUGUGGCCAAGCUUCACUACAUAAUAGGUCCAAACAUGUGCUACAAUUCAAAUAUUGGAUUAGCGGUGAUGUUUGAACUCAGUACCUUAGCUUGCUUUUGAUACCAUGUUGGAUUGUUAAUGUUGGAGAAGAUAAAGGAGAAAAUCUAAGCUAUGACCGAGAGGAUAAGAAGAGGAGAUAUUAAAGAUAGAGAUGAAGGAGAGAUCUAGCUAAAAAGAUAAGGAUAUUCCUUAAAAUCAGAUAAGGAAAUCCUGAUAUAAAUUGAUCUUAAUCUAAAGGAUUGUUGUAAUCUAUACCUAAAUAUUAGGAGUGUAAUCUAGUCCUAAAUUUUAGGAGUUUUCUUAGGAAACACUUUGUAUAUAUUUGCAUCCCACAGUUCAAUGAAUUUUAUGGAAGUUAUUUCAUUCACAAAACUUUCAGUGAGUUUACUCUUUAUAGCAUCAGAGCCAUAGAUCGUAGCAGGGUUUCCACCUCUUUUUUCUUCUUCUUCAGUUGGUAGAACUUUGUAAGUUCGUGCUAUGGCUGAAAAUUUGUCAGCGAGUGAAACGUCCACCAAUCUACCAACCGCAACAAGGAACACUCAAGUCCCAUAACCUCCAAUCACUCUCGAUAAUCAUUCUCUCCAGAUCACCUAGCAUAAGCUGAAUGGAACCAACUUCAGAGAGUGGUUCCAAUCAGUUUUGCUGGUGAUAUGAGGAAAGGGCAAGAUUGGAUAUCUAAAUGAGAUGGUUUCUAAGCCAAGUGUUGAUUCAGAAAAUUAUGGCGUGUGGGAGGCUGAAAACUCGAUUGUAAUGGCAUGGUUAGUCAAUUCUAUGGAGCCAAAGAUUGGAAGGACCUACUUGUUCUACAAGACAACCUAGGAGAUAUGGGAAGUUGUGCAAGAAAUCUAUUCGGACAUGGAGAACACUGCCCAAAGCUUCCAGAUGCAUUUUACUAUUGGGCAACAAGGCAAGGUAAUAGUUCAAUUAUUGAAAUUAUAAUGCCUUAACUAAAUUGUGGCAAGAGAUGGAUUUAUUCCAUGAGAUUAAAUGGGAGUGUGCUGGAGAUGUAAAGAAGUAUGAAAAGAUGAUAGAAAAAUAGAGAGGCUUGAUUUUUUGCACGGUCUAAAUUCUAAUCUUGAUGAAGUAAGAGGGAGCUUACUCGAAACCAAACCCUUUCCAUCAAUAAGGGAAGUCUAUGCAGAAGUGAGAAGAGAAAAAAGCAUAAAAAAGGUGAUGCUUAAUCUUGUAGGGGUGAUCAAUUCUGAUGCGAACUUAUAGUCAUCAACAUUGGUCUCCUCAAGGACCAAGACAUCUAAUACAUCCAAAGGAGAGCUACAAAAGGACAAACUUUGGUGUGAUUACUGCAAUAAGCCGUAUAACAUAAAGGAAACUUGCUGGAAAAUUCACGAAAAACCAGCAAACUUGAAGCCUAGAAAUUAGAGGAAGGGAAAUCAAGUAGCCUAUGGAAGAGAAGCGGAAGCUAGAAAAACAACCAAUUUGAUUCUAUCUACAGAUCAGUUGGAGAUGCUACAACAACUAUUGAGCCAAACCAAGAUGGCUAAAUCUAAGACAAGUGAAUCUCCUAGCCUGGUAGUGUCUCUUGCUAAGUAAGGUAUACGUAUACACUCUCUAAUCUCUUUUAAAUUCCCUAUAGAUUGUUGGAUAAUUGACAUAGGUGCUUCAGAUCACAUGACUGGAUCUUUGAAAGUACUAUCAGCUUAUGAACCUUGUGAUCAAGGUUUACCAAUCUCAAUGGUUGAUGGUACCACAGCCAUGGCACAAGGGAAAGGAUCUAUCUUCGGAGAGAAUGAUUGGCAGUGCUGUGGAGAGAGGAGGCCUCUACCAUAUUGCAAAGAAUGAUUCAGCUAACCCUUUUUGCGUCCACAAGCAUCAUCACUAUGGUUCAUUACCACGACGAGAAGAACUUCUCCAAGAUGAGGCACUUGAAUACCAAGAGUGUUGCUCAUAACCAAUGAACCAGUGAUGGCCAUAGAAGCACAUUCAUUGAGAAAGAUUCAUGCUAGAAAACUCUGUGCAAGUGAGAUGCAGGAUGUGGUGUCACAUGUAAUAGCCAGAGAAGGGAUUCUUAUCUCUCUUUGCUGGUUAUCAGUCUAGCUUCUACUUCCUCCUUUUUCUUCAGAUUGCAGCAAAAAUCUUGACCCAGUUUCAGCAUCAGAAAACAGCAAGCAUAUACGCAAACUCUCUCUUUCAGGGUGUAACAAAAUUGGGAUGUUAACAAUUGGUAGAUUGAGGAAGUUUGGGGGUAUACCAGAAGGCACUAAAACUCCAGCAGAUAACAAAUUGGUACACAUGUUUCAAUCAAUGGUAAAUAUUAUUCUACAAUGGAUUUGGCAAUCCUAGUGAUCGUAAUAUUUUUCAUAUUUGUUCUCUUAAAAGAUUGCUUAGGAUGAGAAAAAUUAUAUAAUAUUAAAUAAAAUUUAUGCAAUAGUAGAUUUUUUG